rnacentral:rRNA from 1 species
CUACGGGGGGCUGCAGUGGGGAAUAUUGCACAAUGGGGGAAACCCUGAUGCAGCGACGCCGCGUGAAGGAUGAAGGAGUUCGGUGCGUAAACUUCUAUCAGCAGGGAAGAUAGUGACUGUACCUGACUAAGAAGCCCCGGCUAACUACGUGCCAGCAGCCGCGGUAAUACGUAGGGGGCAAGCGUUAUCCGGAAUUACUGGGUGUAAAGGGUGCGUAGGUGGUUACUUAAGUCAGAUGUGAAAGCCCGGGGCUCAACCUCGGGACUGCAUUUGAAACUGGGUAACUAGAAUACAGGAGAGGUAAGUGGAAUUCCUAGUGUAGCGGUGAAAUGCGUAGAUAUUAGGAGGAACACCAGUGGCGAAGGCGACUUACUGGACUGUUAUUGACACUGAGGCACGAAAGCGUGGGGAGCGAACAGGAUUAGAUACCCUAGUAGUC